rnacentral:tRNA from 1 species
GAGGGCAUAUCUCAGUGGUAGAUUACAUGCCUUGCAUGCAUGGGGUUCUGGGUUCAAUCCCCACUACCUCCA